rnacentral:lncRNA from 1 species
CUUUUCAGGAGAAUAAUGAUAUUCUUCAUUCAGACUUAAAAUAGUUAUUUGGUUAGGGAUGGGCUAUUCCUGAGUUCCUCUGAAUCCAGCAGCUGACAAUUUCUGGGUGCUUUUUUCUCCUUCCUCCAUGCCUUAGAUUUCUGCCCUCCCUCAAGAGAAGGUUCCAGGAGACAAACCAGUGUCGCUUGUGUUCCUAACAGCUUAUCUCUGGCACGAGCAAGACAUUGCUUAUAGGUAUCCUAAGGAAAUGGAAUUACUUUUCAUCUGUUUUUUGAGGACUAGAGACUAUAGGUAGGUAGUACUUUUCCCUAACGGUUUACCCAAGAUUAGAAUACUUAUCCUUUUCACAUUCUACCGUUUAUCACUCUGGAUCAUCUUAAAUUACCUGGAUUAAUUUUUAGUACUUGAGUGUUUCAGAAACAAUCACGAUAGGGAAUUGUAUAGAUUUCCCAAGAUAUGUCACUACGUAAUCUCUUCUCUCUAUGAUCUAAUCUUCUCCCCAGGUUAUUGUGAUCUGUAUAUAUUAUUGAGAAGAG